GAUAACCAAAGAUGACAGCUGGAUUUAAUGUGGGGUUGGUAAUCACACGUACAUCACCACCACCAGGUGCCCAAGUAUCAUAGACACCACCGAAGAACAUUGCCUUCAGCACCAACAAAAAGGCACCAAGUCCCAAAAUGAUCAGGUGGAAGCCAAUGAUGUUGGUCAUCUUGUUCUUGUCUUUCCA
rnacentral:antisense_RNA from 1 species